rnacentral:RNase_P_RNA from 1 species
CGAGUUGGCCGGGCGGCCGCGGCACCGGUGGAAACCGGGGUCGAGGAAAGUCCGGACUUCACAGAGCAGGGUGAUUGCUAACGGCAAUCCGAGGUGACUCGCGGGAAAGUGCCACAGAAAACAGACCGCCACCUGAGUCCUUUGGACGCAGGGGUAAGGGUGAAACGGUGCGGUAAGAGCGCACCAGCACCCCGGGUGACCGGGGUGGCUAGGCAAACCCCACCCGAAGCAAGGCCAAGAAGGCCGCAACCUGGUUGCGGCCGCGCAGGCGUCCGAGGGUUGCUCGCCCGAGCCUGCGGGUAGGCCGCUUGAGGCACCCGGCGACGGUGUGUCCAGAUGGAUGGUCGCCGCCUUGCCCCUCCGGGGUGAGGGACAGAAUCCGGCUUACAGGCCAGCUCGUUCG